CACUGGAGAAGAUAAGCCGCCGCCUGGAAUCUUUCCUCCUUCCCGAUUUGUCAGAGUGCAACCGGUUCCAGUUGACGUCCGAUAUCCAAGAAGCGGUCCUGGUACAGGGCAUCGCACUCGACACAGAGACCCAAGACCUAUACACUGCCCCCGUGUGCUUGCCAUCGAAACCCAUGAGACUUGUAUUUCCGCAGACAAGAGAGACAAGGGUACGAAACGUGCUCCUAUUGGUCGCAGAGGAUACCUACAAGGUUCCCCUGGAGUAUGAUUGGCUUCAGAAGAAGUCUGGGGAUGAGGACCGCGAAGCGGAGUAUAAUGAGCGCUUUUGGGGCCGUGAGAGAGGAUUCGACCACGAGGGCUCACUGAAGCAGUACAGCGUGGAACCUUCCAGCCUAUAAUACGAA